AGUGAACGCUGGCGGUAUGCCUAAUACAUGCAAGUCGAACGGCAGCUCAUUAAGAGCUUGCUCUUGCGCUUAGCGAGUGACGGAUGGGUGACGAAUGCAUGAGAAUCUCCUGUUCCGUGUGGGCUAACGUAGGGAAUCUUACGCUAAUACCGGUUAUAAUACACCGGAGAAAUCGGUAGCGCUUCGGACCUUUGUCGAGUGUAUGAGCACUUGUCGAAUUAGUUAGGUGGGUGGGUAAAGGCCUACCAAGGCAACGAUACGUAGCUGAACUGAGAGGGUGGUCAGCCACACUGGGACUGAGACACGGCCCAGACUCCUACGGGAGGCAGCAGUAGGGAAUCUUCGACAAUGGGCGAAAGCCUGAUCGAGCAACACCGCGUGGGUGAAGAAGGCCUUCGGGUCGUAAAGCCCUUUUGUUAGAAAAGAAAAGCAGUAGGUGAAACUGUUCACGUUUUGACGGUACCUAACCAGAAAGCCACGGCUAACUUCGUG
rnacentral:rRNA from 1 species